UCCUCCUUAGCUCAGUUGGUAGAGCGACGGACUGUUAAUCCGCAGGUCACUGGUUCGAGCCCAGUAGGAGGAG
rfam:Vibrio sp. AND4 1103602000429, whole genome shotgun sequence.